UAGGGAAUCUUUCGGCAAUGGACGGAAGUCUGACCGAGCAAACGCCGCGUGAGUGAAGAAAGGUUUUCGGAUCGUAAAGCUCUGUUGUAAGAGAAGAACGAGUGUGAGAGUGGAAAGUUCACACUGUGACGGUAUCUUACCAGAAAGGGACGGCUAACUACGUGCCAGCAGCCGCGGUAAUACGUAGGUCCCGAGCGUUGUCCGGAUUUAUUGGGCGUAAAGCGAGCGCAGGCGGUUAGAUAAGUCUGAAGUUAAAGGCUGUGGCUUAACCAUAGUACGCUUUGGAAACUGUUUAACUUGAGUGCAAGAGGGGAGAGUGGAAUUCCAUGUGUAGCGGUGAAAUGCGUAGAUAUAUGGAGGAACACCGGUGGCGAAAGCGGCUCUCUGGCUUGUAACUGACGCUGAGGCUCGAAAGCGUGGGGAGCAAACAGGAUUAGAUACCCUGGUAGUCCACGCCGUAAACGAUGAGUGCUAGGUGUUAGACCCUUUCCGGAGUUUAGUGCCGCAGCUAACGCAUUAAGCACUCCGCCUGGGGAGUACGACCGCAAGGUUG
rnacentral:rRNA from 1 species